UACAGAGGUCUCGAGCGUUAGGCGGAAUCACUGGGCUUAAAGCGUGUGUAGGCGGACUGGUAAGUACCUUGUGAAAUCCCACGGCUCAACCGUGGAACUGCUUGGUAUACUGCUUGUCUUAUGCAACCUAGGGGCGAGCGGAACAGAUGGUGGAGCGGUGAAAUGCGUAGAUAUCAUCUGGAACGCCAAUGGUGAAAACAGCUCGCUGGGGUUGUGCUGACGCUGAGACACGAAAGCCAGGGGAGCGAACGGG
rnacentral:rRNA from 1 species